rnacentral:rRNA from 1 species
CGGCAAGAGCUCAAAUUUGAAAUCUGGCCCCUCCGGGGUCCGAGUUGUAAUUUGCAGAGGAUGCUUCGGGCGCGGUCCCCGUCUAAGUACCCUGGAACGGGUCGUCAUAGAGGGUGAGAAUCCCGUCUGGGACGGGUGGCCGUGUCCGUGUGAAGCUCCUUCGACGAGUCGAGUUGUUUGGGAAUGCAGCUCUAAAUGGGUGGUAAAUUUCAUCUAAAGCUAAAUAUUGGCCGGAGACCGAUAGCGCACAAGUAGAGUGAUCGAAAGAUGAAAAGCACUUUGAAAAGAGAGUUAAACAGCACGUGAAAUUGUUGAAAGGGAAGCGCUUGCGACCAGACUCGCCCGCGGGGGUUCAGCCGGUACUCGUACCGGUGUACUCCCCCGGGGGCGGGCCAGCGUCGGUUUGGGCGGUCGGUCAAAGGCCUCCGGAAUGUGUCGCCCCCCGGGGCGUCUUAUAGCCGGAGGUGCAAUGCGGCCAGCCUGGACCGAGGAACGCGCUUCGGCUCGGACGCUGGCGUAAUGGUCGUAAGCGGCCCGUCU